GAUGAACGCUGGCGGCGUGCCUAAUACAUGCAAGUCGAGCGAACGGACGAGAAGCUUGCUUCUCUGAUGUUAGCGGCGGACGGGUGAGUAACACGUGGAUAACCUACCUAUAAGACUGGGAUAACUUCGGGAAACCGGAGCCAAUACCGGAUAAUAUUUUGAACCGCAUGGUUCAAAAGUGAAAGACGGUCUUGCUGUCACUUAUAGAUGGAUCCGCGCUGCAUUAGCUAGUUGGUAAGGUAACGGCUUACCAAGGCAACGAUGCAUAGCCGACCUGAGAGGGUGAUCGGCCACACUGGAACUGAGACACGGUCCAGACUCCUACGGGAGGCAGCAGUAGGGAAUCUUCCGCAAUGGGCGAAAGCCUGACGGAGCAACGCCGCGUGAGUGAUGAAGGUCUUCGGAUCGUAAAACUCUGUUAUUAGGGAAGAACAUAUGUGUAAGUAACUGUGCACAUCUUGACGGUACCUAAUCAGAAAGCCACGGCUAACUACGUGCCAGCAGCCGCGGUAAUACGUAGGUGGCAAGCGUUAUCCGGAAUUAUUGGGCGUAAAGCGCGCGUAGGCGGUUUUUUAAGUCUGAUGUGAAAGCCCACGGCUCAACCGUGGAGGGUCAUUGGAAACUGGAAAACUUGAGUGCAGAAGAGGAAAGUGGAAUUCCAUGUGUAGCGGUGAAAUGCGCAGAGAUAUGGAGGAACACCAGUGGCGAAGGCGACUUUCUGGUCUGUAACUGACGCUGAUGUGCGAAAGCGUGGGGAUCAAACAGGAUUAGAUACCCUGGUAGUCCACGCCGUAAACGAUGAGUGCUAAGUGUUAGGGGGUUUCCGCCCCUUAGUGCUGCAGCUAACGCAUUAAGCACUCCGCCUGGGGAGUACGACCGCAAGGUUGAAACUCAAAGGAAUUGACGGGGACCCGCACAAGCGGUGGAGCAUGUGGUUUAAUUCGAAGCAACGCGAAGAACCUUACCAAAUCUUGACAUCCUUUGACAACUCUAGAGAUAGAGCUUUCCCCUUCGGGGGACAAAGUGACAGGUGGUGCAUGGUUGUCGUCAGCUCGUGUCGUGAGAUGUUGGGUUAAGUCCCGCAACGAGCGCAACCCUUAAGCUUAGUUGCCAUCAUUAAGUUGGGCACUCUAAGUUGACUGCCGGUGACAAACCGGAGGAAGGUGGGGAUGACGUCAAAUCAUCAUGCCCCUUAUGAUUUGGGCUACACACGUGCUACAAUGGACAAUACAAAGGGCAGCGAAACCGCGAGGUCAAGCAAAUCCCAUAAAGUUGUUCUCAGUUCGGAUUGUAGUCUGCAACUCGACUACAUGAAGCUGGAAUCGCUAGUAAUCGUAGAUCAGCAUGCUACGGUGAAUACGUUCCCGGGUCU
rnacentral:rRNA from 1 species